rnacentral:rRNA from 1 species
AUUGAACGCUGGCGGCAGGACUAACACAUGCAAGUCGAACGAGUGGCGGACGGGUGAGUAAUGUCUGGGAAACAGCCUGAUGGAGGGGGAUAACUACUGGAAACGGUAGCUAAUACCGCAUACCAUCGGAUGUGCCCAGAUGGGAUUAGCUAGUAGGUGGGGUAAAGGCUCACCUAGGCGACGAGCCCUAGCUGGUCUGAGAGGAUGACAAGCAACACUGGAACGUAGACACGGUCCAGACUCCUACGGGAGGCAGCAGUGGGGAAUAUUGCACAAUGGGCGCGAGCCUGAUGCAGCCAUGCCGCGGGUAUGAAGAAGGCCUUCGGGUUGUAAAGUACUUUCAGCGGGGAGGCGUUACCCGCAGAAGAAGCACCGGCUAACUCCGUGCCAGCGGCCGCGGUAAUAC